GGAGUGGUAGCGAAGCGGUCAUAACGCGGCGGUCUUGAAAACCGUUUGUCUGAAAGGGCACAUGGGUUCGAAUCCCAUCCACUCCG
rnacentral:tRNA from 1 species